AACGUAGGAGGCAAGCGUUAUCCGGAGUUACUGGGCGUAAAGCGUGCGUAGGCGGAUGGGUAAGUGGGUCGUGAAAGCGCCGGGCUAAACCUCGGAACUGCCUUUGAUACUGCAAAUCUCGAGUCCGGAAGAGGUGAGUGGAAUUCCUAGUGUAGAGGUGAAAUUCGUAGAUAUUAGGAAGAACACCAGUGGCGAAGGCGGCUCACUGGUCCGGUACUGACGCUGAGGUGCGAAAGCGUGGGGAGCAAACAGG
rnacentral:rRNA from 1 species